rnacentral:rRNA from 1 species
UAGGGAAUCUUCCGCAAUGGGCGAAAGCCUGACGGAGCAACGCCGCGUGAGUGAUGAAGGUCUUCGGAUCGUAAAACUCUGUUAUUAGGGAAGAACAAAUGUGUAAGUAACUAUGCACGUCUUGACGGUACCUAAUCAGAAAGCCACGGCUAACUACGUGCCAGCAGCCGCGGUAAUACGUAGGUGGCAAGCGUUAUCCGGAAUUAUUGGGCGUAAAGCGCGCGUAGGCGGUUUUUUAAGUCUGAUGUGAAAGCCCACGGCUCAACCGUGGAGGGUCAUUGGAAACUGGAAAACUUGAGUGCAGAAGAGGAAAGUGGAAUUCCAUGUGUAGCGGUGAAAUGCGCAGAGAUAUGGGGGGACACCAGUGGCGAAGGCGACUUUCUGGUCUGUAACUGACGCUGAUGUGCGAAAGCGUGGGGAUCAAACAGG